GAGGUUGGGGCCCUGUAGCUCCUUCAUGCAUGUGUUCAUUUCUGGCUUAAAAGAUGUCUAUCCACUUGCAGGAAGUGGGAGAAGCUGAGAAGCUGAACCUGCCAAUGAUGUAACUUGCAGAUCCCUGCUGGAUCAACUCAUUUCUCUGUGCAGAAGAUCAUCCACUGUUCAAAGUGUAUAGAGCCCCACUCAGGGCCAAGGAGAGGCUCCAGAAAAAUCACAAACACAAGAAUGUGUGUGAGGUACUGGAUAAAGCUGAGCAUGCUGUUCCAGGCAUGGGGCCUUCUCACCAGUUCUCUGAAGCCACCCCUUCCUUUAUGCCUUGAGGCUGCUUGCUGAUGCCAGGAGUAAAAGAAAUGACUCCUG
rnacentral:lncRNA from 1 species